UACGGAAGGCAGCAGUGGGGAAUAUUGCACAAUGGGCGCAAGCCUGAUGCAGCCAUGCCGCGUGUAUGAAGAAGGCCUUCGGGUUGUAAAGUACUUUCAGUCGUGAGGAAGGUGUUAAGGUUAAUAACCUUAGCAAUUGACGUUAGCGACAGAAGAAGCACCGGCUAACUCCGUGCCAGCAGCCGCGGUAAUACGGAGGGUGCGAGCGUUAAUCGGAAUUACUGGGCGUAAAGGGCACGCAGGCGGUUAAUUAAGUUGGAUGUGAAAUCCCCGGGCUUAAACCUGGGAAAUGGCAUUCAAGACUGGUUAGCUAGAGUCUUGUAGAGGGGGUAGAAAUUCCAUGUGUAGCGGUGAAAUGCGUAGAGAUGUGGAGGAAUAACCGGUGGCGAAAGGCGGCCCCUGGACAAAAGACGUGACGCUCAUGUGCGAAAAGCGUGGGGAGCAAAACAGGGAUUAGAAUACC
rnacentral:rRNA from 1 species